rnacentral:rRNA from 1 species
UACAGAGGGUGCAAGCGUUGUUCGGAAUUACUGGGCGUAAAGGGCGCGUAGGCGGCCUUCUAAGUCAGACGUGAAAUCCCUCGGCUCAACCGGGGAACUGCGUCUGAGACUGGAAGGCUUGAAUCCGGGAGAGGGAUGUGGAAUUCCAGGUGUAGCGGUGAAAUGCGUAGAUAUCUGGAGGAACACCGGUGGCGAAGGCGGCAUCCUGGACCGGUAUUGACGCUGAGGCGCGAAAGCCAGGGGAGCAAACGGG